rnacentral:rRNA from 1 species
GACGAACGCUGGCGGCGUGCUUAACACAUGCAAGUCGAACGGAAAGGCCCUGCUUUUGUGGGGUGCUCGAGUGGCGAACGGGUGAGUAACACGUGAGUAACCUGCCCUUGACUUUGGGAUAACUUCAGGAAACUGGGGCUAAUACCGGAUAGGAGCUCCUGCUGCAUGGUGGGGGUUGGAAAGUUUCGGCGGUUGGGGAUGGACUCGCGGCUUAUCAGCUUGUUGGUGGGGUAGUGGCUUACCAAGGCUUUGACGGGUAGCCGGCCUGAGAGGGUGACCGGCCACAUUGGGACUGAGGUACGACCCAGACUCCUACGGGAGGCAGCGGUGGGGAAUAUUGCACGAUGGGCGGAAGCCUGAUGCAGCAGCGCCGCGUGCGGGAUGACGGCCUUCGGGUUAUAAACCGCUUUCGCCUGUGACGAAGCGUGAGUGACGGUAAUGGGUAAAGAAGCACCGGCUAACUACGUG